UUUCGAACAGAAUUGCUUUGAACCUGUAGAUUAACUGGGAGAGAACUGAGAUUUUUGUACACUUCUACCCAAGAACACGGUUGGCCUUUCCAUGUCCUUCGGUCUCCGAAAAAAUGUUUUUCAACAUUUUGCAAUUUUUCGCUUCACUGUAUAGCUUGUUCCAUAGCUGCGUAGACGGGCUGUCAUUUAUCUUACGGGGCUUCCGAUGGUGCCUUUCAGGAUAUCUGUGGCCUUUCUGCUUUACGGCAGUGCUUCGGGGCGUCUCCCUGGGCUUACUCAUUUGGGCACAACUGUAAAUAUAACUAUAGGACAAAGUCCUAGGAGAAAGACGGCCAUGUCUAAGGGCGUUUGCGUCCUCCGGUGAGCAGACAGACUUGCGACAGGCUGUGCGGAGCCUUCGCUCUCCAUGUCGUCCGCAGCCAGGCUUCCCUUCCCUGUCUUCUUCCCCUCCCCGGACACGCUGCCAGGGCCUUCUGCUGGAAACUCUCUCCUUCGUUUCUGUGGCUCUGCAUAAAAGACUGAAAAGUCUUCGCCGUAGUCAUUCAUUCAUGUGUUUACUCGUUCAUUUGCUCGUUCGUUUCCUAGUCAAGUGCUUACAAUCGUGCGGUCCACCAGGGGGCCCUCCCAUUUUAUUUUCUGAGCGAAACGUCGCCUAAUCGUCCCUUCUGUGCCUUCUCUGUCUAACUGAAAGCACUGAGAAGGAAUCUCCAAAACAGGGGUGUAAACAUCGAGAGACGGAGAAACUGAGGCACGCAGCAGGAAAUGGCUUGAUUAGAGUCAGAAAGCACAUCAAUGGUAAAAACAGAGACAGCAGAUAUAGUUCCCUCUUCUCGACUGCCUGUCUUCGCGUCAAGAUUGCAGAGGGGCUUCCGCGGAAAGGCGCCUCCUGCUCGGAGAGGGGUCUUCUCCAGGCAUGAGGAGCGGAAGGCAGCAGAUCGGCUCGUUCUGUCCUUGCCGCUGCCAGCGGCGACCCCCACCUGCCCAGAGCCUUCUCGUCCACGGGCACCGCCAUCCAGGAGCAACGAGCGUGGGCCAGCAGCCAGGAGGCCGGGUCUGGCUGCCAAGUUUCCACCCCAGCUCCUUCUCCACAUGUCCACAGAGACUCUCCCACCCCCACUCCUUGGCAGCGGGACCCUGCCAUCUGAGCCUGCCUGUGGCUACCCUUUGGAAUGGAAUUCAAAAGUCUGCAAUACCGGUCUCUGCCUUCGUGGGACGACUGGGCAGCCUGGCCCAAAAUAGCCGGAGGAGGCAGAACAUUAGGGCCACGGUGGGAAAAAUCACAGUGCCGCUAAAUGACAGGCUGUGCUUAUCUGGAACCAGGCGUCUUACAGACUUUAACCGAGGUCACAUGGUUUUCCGCAACGACGAGAAAACAGGCAUCGUGGGGAGCGGUGACAUGCCCAGGGAGCGAGAAGGAACUGGCACACCUGGGAGGACACGCAAUGCGCUGCCUCCUGGGCAUCAUCCCCGGAGCGUGUCUCCCCCUGAGCCUCUGGGCUCGGCAUCCCACCAGCUGCCCUUGUGUGAGAGUCUGAGAAGACUGAUCCACUUGGGAAUCUUCAGGAAGCCUUGGAGGGUUGGCCCGGACGUCCUUUGUGUAGGAGGUGUGAGCUCCUAGGGAAUUUCAGGGCAGGGCUGGGCUCCUGGGAGCCCAAGAGAGAGCCUUCGGGGUGGGGGCCUCAUCUGGUUGGCCCUGGCCUCUGACCUGUCACGUCAUGGGGCUGAUGAACUCUCCCCCAGGCACUGCUGCCGGCUUUGGGUUCUGAUUUGUUAAUGCUGGUGGUUGGGGGAGGGGGUUGUUUUGUUUUUUGGGAGUUGUUUUUUUUUUCCCCCAGGACUCCUGUCCUCGUGCGGUGAGGACUCUGUCCAACGAGAUGAUAUUUGCUGAACUGGGAAGUUUCCGCCCUGGGCUGCGUGGGGGAGGCGCGGUGGCGGCCGCAGAAGAGAGCGGAGCCGUCCACGAGCCAAACUUCCCGUCCUUCUCCCUCGAAACGGGAAAGCGGUAAAUGAAGUUGAUGACAGAGCGCACUGGGGACCUGGCCAGGCCUGCGUUUCGGUGACAUAUUUCAUUUCCUUUCCUGAAGGCUGACUCGCAUUGUUCGGGAGCCUGGCCUUGGGGACUCUUCGCCCAUUUGCCUUUUGGCUCAAGCCGUGGGCUGGGGCGACACUGCCCGAGCUGUUCGCGGACCUCAGUGCCCGUUCUCCAGAGCUUCCCACCCUCUGAGCCUGUCUCACAUGAGCGCCUUGGGAAACCCUGGCUCUUUUUGCCACAUUUAAUACACCCCCCUCCCCCAUGUCUGAUUCAAGGAAAAUGAGUAAUCCCUUUUCUCGUCUCUUGGGAGAUGUGGGGGCCCAACCCAGGAGGAAAGACGGGAAAAGACUGCACUUGCGAUCGCAACGGUGGCUGUGCUCAUCCUACCACUUCGAACGGGCCCCGUCGACCCUUGACCGACUGUGCGAGAGACCGCAGCCUCGUGAUCCUUACCCCAAACCCCCGCAUACAAAAAGCUCUCGCAACUCAGUUUUCCCCUAAAUCUGCACACAUGAGUUUGACAGAACAAUGUGACUCGAACUGCGAGACGACGACGAAUGGCCUUCGCGUGUCCCACCGCGGGCCGCGGACGGUGCAGGUAUCUGGUGACGGGGCGGCAUGCUCUACGUGUGAUUUGCAUCUCACUCCGAACACAUCUGGUGCCACGCGGUCCAGAUCAGAGAGCCGUGGCCCUCUCUCUGCUUUACAGGCCGUGUGCCCAGCUUCGUGUGCACCGGACUUCGGCAUCGGUCCCAGUUCCCCAGACCCUCAGACGUCCUGGACGAAGGUCCCCCAGGGGCCGCGUGAAGAUGUAGCCGACUUGCGUCCCUGGUUCUCCUGUUUGGUGACCUCAGUCUCCUGCUGCAAAGGCCGUCUGAGGACAGAACCCUGCGGGAAGGUCAGUCCCCGAGCUGGGCCUGGGUCCGGUUGCCGGGAAGGUCCUCGCGUCAUGCACAGGAACAGAGACACUGAGCUUAUCUCUGGGUUUUCCUGUGUAAGUCCGGCCAAGCCUCAGGCACGUGCCAGAGGCCGUGAGCAGCUCCCGAGCCUUCCAGCGUCAGCUGAAACAGCCUCUCCGCUGGGGACGCGGUUACCGCACCUUGCCAGAGCGCCUGCGAACUCUCCUGGGGCCACUCGGGACCUUUGCUCGCACAGUGGGGGGUGGCGGCUGGGUCUCCGCGGAGACACCACCCAGAGCCACCCUCUCCUUUCAUCCCGCGCUCUCGGCCUGCCCCGGCGUGCCUGGUGGGCGCCCGGCGUGCCUGGUGGGUGCCCAGCGAGCAUACGCCCUGCUCCCCUUUGAUUCCUCAGACACAUGGGGAGCAGAGGCGGGAAGAAAAUUCCGAGGCAAGGCUUGGCCCCAAGCGCCCCAAACCAGCAACCCAGCCCCUCCGUCCUCCGUCCAGGCGUCACUAGAGGGAGGGGUCUUGGCGGAGGGAUAAGGACAGGAGGAGGGCAGAAGGAGGGCAGGCCGAUGUCCGAGUGGCUUGGGACAUGGGGGCGGGGUUCCGGAAAGAAAGGCACAGAAAAGAAAGCCGUCAUCGUCAUCGUCACGCAGAGUUUGCUCCUCCGGCCAGAUUGCUCCUUCCUUUCUCGGGAUAUGAUAAGGUUCCAGAACAAGCCGGUCUGGCUCAGAGUGUGGGGACCAGCCUGGGGCUGCUCAUCGGGUGUGAGCGGGGGGCCAAGGGACUCGUUUAGAAAGCACUUUCGUGUAAGAUGGAGAAAAUGCCCCAUUCCCAGAACAAGGAAUGAGACACACAAGGGCCGAAGUCCCUGCGGGCCCCACCUCUGCUUCUCACUGUCCCCUGGAAAAUCUUCCCCAAACAGAGGUUCCCAGCCUUUGGCUCACGAAGCUAUCGAAGAAUCUGACCAAAGCGAGAGACCAUCACUGUCCCAAAUGCGCAUGCGCACGCACGUGGGCACACGAUUUCUCAUUCUGGUUUGGGGGUUCACAGAUUUCCCCAAUCCCGUCCGAGGUCCCCAGACCCCAGGUGGAGAUCCUGAUGGAUGUCUCAAGUCUGCCACCAUCUGGGGACUUGCUCCCACGAAGUUGGCUACAGGUGCCCUUCGGCCCCUUGAAUCCCAUCCCCCCGCCACCAAGCAACUUGGGGUUCCCAAGGCUCCUCCUCGUCCUGGGCUCUCAGCCGCCCCCACCUCCGGGCAGACUUCCAGACAUUCGGAGGGGCCACCCCGGUCCCAGCCUGGGCCGGCCCCCGGGGUGGCCGGGGGGAGGGCAGCGCUGGCCUUCCCUGCCCGCGGGCACACACACAGUUAAUCCUCGGCGGCUGCUGUUUGGAUAAAAAUGUGCUGGGAGCAUUCGAGGGAGGCUCGCGGCCGCUCACAUCUGGCUGGGGUUCGCGCUCUGCGCUCGGUGCCUCUUUCCUCGGCCUUCCCUUACUUUGGAGAAACCGCGUUUCCGCUUCUGGCCAGAGAGACCUCGGAGCCGAGGAGAUCAAGGUGCCCGGAAGGGACCGGCCGCUGCCCACGCCAGCCGCCCCCCUCCGCACCGCCUUCCCGGAGGACUUUCUCGGUCUUCCCCGCUCUCUCCUCCGACAAGUCUCUCCUUCCCCCGACCUGGCCCGGAGGACGCCCCGCUGCCGGGAGAUGCUCUAAGAGGCGGUGCUGGGGGAGCCCGGAGGCCGUGGGGAGGACGCCGGCUGGAGCAGGGCGCAGCGGGAAGAUGGGCUCCGGGGCACUGGGACUCACGCUGGCGUGCUGCCUGCUGCUGGCCUUCGCCUGUGGCCCGGUGCUGGGCCGAGUGCCGCGUGACCAGCCGGAACAGCAGGAACAGCCGGAGGGGACCGAGGAGCCGCUGCUGGACCACACUGAGAGGGCUGAAGAAAAGCAUGAAAAAUACGGCCCCCGGCAAGGCGAGGAGGCCGCCGCCUCUCGGUGCUAUCGCUGCUGUGACCCUGGUGCCCCCGCGUACCCGGCCUUCCCGGUGCCACAGAUCAACCUCACCAUCCUGAAAGGUGAGAAAGGUGACCGGGGAGACCGAGGCCUGCAAGGGAAAUACGGCAAAGCGGGCUCCGUGGGCGCCCGGGGCCACGCAGGACCCAAAGGGCAGAAAGGCUCCAUGGGGGCCCCCGGGGACCGGUGUAAGAACUACUACGCCGCCUUCUCGGUGGGCCGGAAGAAGCCCCUGCACAGCAACGACUACUACCAGACGGUGAUCUUCGACACAGAGUUCGUGAACCUCUACGGCCACUUCAACAUGUUCACGGGCAAGUUCUACUGCUACGUGCCCGGCAUCUACUUUUUCAGCCUCAACGUGCACACCUGGAACCAGAAGGAGACGUACCUGCACAUCAUGAAGAACGAGGAGGAGGCGGUGAUCCUCUACGCCCAGGUGAGUGACCGCAGCAUCAUGCAGAGCCAGAGCCUAAUGCUGGAGCUGCGGGACCAGGACGAGGUGUGGGUGCGCCUCUUCAAGGGUGAGCGGGAGAAUGCCAUCUUCAGCGACGAGUUCGACACCUACAUCACCUUCAGCGGCUACCUAGUCAAGCACGCCGCCGAGCCCUAGCUG